rnacentral:RNase_P_RNA from 1 species
ACAGCAAGCCGGCUUAUCGCUGCGCCUUCGGGCGGAGAGGAAAGUCCGGGCAACACAGAGCAUCCUGCUUCCUAACGGGAAGGGGCUUUCCGGGCGACGGGAAAGCAACAGCCAGUGCCACAGAAAAUAACCGCCCUUUUUUCUAGUGAUUAGUGAUUAAUGAAUAGUGAUUAGUAAGUUCUUGCAUGAAUAACUAAUCACUAAACCCUAAUCACUAAUCACUAGAAAAAAAGGGUAAGGGUGAAAAGGUGCGGUAAGAGCGCACCAGUGCUUUGGGUGACCAGGGCAGCUGGGUAAACCUCAGGAGUUGAAAGACCAAAUAGGUCCCGAACGUGGAGUUGCUCGCUCCCUGAUCUCUUCGGAGGUUUGUCGGGAUGGGUAGGUUGAUGGAGCCCCGCCGUGAGGUUGGGCCUAGAUAAAUGAUAAGCCUUUCCGGAUUUUUCCGGACUGACAGAACCCGGCUUACAGGCUUGCUGCUUUU